ACUGACUAUUAGACGUUACCCGGGUAGUCCGAGGGUGUAAACGCUGCAGACUUGGUGUUGGAAAUCCUUCGGAGGGUAUUCAGUGCCGGAGAGAAGUUGUUAAGUCUGCUACUUGGGAGUACGUCCGCAAGGAUGAAACUUAAAGGAAUUGGCGGGGGAGCACCGCAACGGGAGGAGCGUGCGGUUUAAUUGGAUUCAACGCCGGAAAACUCACCAGGGAGACUGUUACAUGAAACCCAGACUAAUGAUCUUGGUUGAUUUCAG
rnacentral:rRNA from 1 species